rnacentral:rRNA from 1 species
GACGAACGCUGGCGGCGUGCUUAACACAUGCAAGUCGAACGGGCCCUUCGGGGUUAGUGGCGAACGGGUGAGUAACACGUGGGUGAUCUGCCCUGCACUUUGGGAUAAGCCUGGGAAACUGGGUCUAAUACCGGAUAGGAUCAUGGCCUGCAUGGGUUGUGGUGGAAAGCUUUUGCGGUGUGGGAUGGGCCCGCGGCCUAUCAGCUUGUUGGUGAGGUUACGGCUCACCAAGGCGACGACGGGUAGCCGGCCUGAGAGGGUGACCGGCCACACUGGGACUGAGAUACGGCCCAGACUCCUACGGGAGGCAGCAGUGGGGAAUAUUGCACAAUGGGCGCAAGCCUGAUGCAGCGACGCCGCGUGAGGGAUGACGGCCUUCGGGUUGUAAACCUCUUUCAGUACAGACGAAGCGUGAGUGACGGUAUGUACAGAAGAAGGACCGGCCAACUACGUGCCAGCAGCCGCCGUAACAC